rnacentral:rRNA from 1 species
GCGAGCGUUGUCCGGAAUUAUUGGGCGUAAAGGGUGCGUAGGCGGCCUUUUAAGUCAGUGUGAAAGACCGCGGCUUAACCGUGGGAUUGCAUUUGAAACUGGGUGGCUUGAGUGUCGGAGAGGGAAGUGGAAUUCCCAGUGUAGCGGUGAAAUGCGUAGAUAUUGGGAGGAACACCAGUGGCGAAGGCGACUUUCUGGACNGUAACUGACGCUGAGGCGCGAAAGCUUGGGGAGCAAACAGGAUUAGAUACCCUGGUAGUCCUCGCCGUAAACGAUGGGUACUAGGUGUAGGGGGUUUNGAUCCCNUCUGUGCCGCAGNUAACGCA